UACAGAGGUCCCAAGCGUUGUUCGGAUUCAUUGGGCGUAAAGGGCGCGUAGGCGGCGCGGUAAGUCGGGUGUGAAAUCUCGGGGCUUAACUCCGAAACUGCAUUCGAUACUGCCGUGCUUGAGGACUGGAGAGGAGACUGGAAUUUACGGUGUAGCGGUGAAAUGCGUAGAUAUCGUAAGGAAGACCAGUGGCGAAGGCGGGUCUCUGGACAGUUCCUGACGCUGAGGCACGAAGGCCAGGGGAGCAAACGGG
rnacentral:rRNA from 1 species